rnacentral:lncRNA from 1 species
AAUCACCUUUGUUAGAUAUUGGUGAUCUUUGAAAUUUUUUUUUGAUUCUUUAAUUUACUGUUUAGAGCAUAAAUUAUGUAAAUCUUAUAAGAAAAAAGAUUGAAGAAGGAUUUUGGUAGCAAAGGGAGUAAUUAGGGCACCAAUACAGAUGAAUAGAGAUGAAUAAUAAAAAUCUCUAUUCUUAUUGGUCAAAAAUUAUGACCAAUGGACUUUGAGGAGGCUGCUCGAGGCCAUAUUAGGGAUUAGGAUUAGUUUCUUGAGGCGAUUCGAAUUUUGAAGGCUAGGAUUAGAAGGUUUAGGUUUUUGGCUCAAAGUUAAGGUGUUGAUUUGGGAGCUACUGUCAGUCUUUUUGGUAUAACGCACGCGUAUAGAUAGCAAUUGAGAAUCGGUGACCGCAACUAAAGAGAAAACUUUUGCAGCUAUACUUUUUACAUAUUGCUUACUAGAUUCCAAAUUGAAGUGAAGGAGUUAUUGGAUUUUGAAGUCUGCACAUGCAAUCUAAGUGUAGUAAGUAACCUGAUUUGCUAGUGGUUGUCUCUUGAGCUAUAUCUUGAGCAAUUUGACAAGAUUUUGGCUCAAAAUUUCAGGAAAUAUGUAAUUUUAUGUUAGUAAACUUUGUGCAUAAGUUUUAUAAUAUUUGAUUAUUGGAUUCUUGAGAUAUUAAGAAAAUAGUAUUCGGGUGCUUGUAAAUUAGGAUUUAGAGCAUCUACUAGGGUUUCUUAGAUA